rnacentral:rRNA from 1 species
AAUCCUCCACAAUGGGCGAAAGCCUGAUGAAGCAACGCCGCGUGAGUGAAGAAGGUUUUCGGAUCGUAAAACUCUGUUGUAAGGGAGGAACAAGUACAGUAGUAACUGGCUGUACCUUGACGGUACCUUAUUAGAAAGCAACGGCUAACUACUUGCCAGCAGCCGCGGUAAUACGUAGGUGGCAAGGGUUGUCCGGUAUUAUUUGGCGAAAAGCGCGGGCAGGCGGUCCUUUAAGUCUGAUGUGAAAGCCCACGGCUCAACCGUGGAGGGUCAUUGGAAACUGGGGGACUUGAGUGCAGAAGAGGAAAGUGGAAUUCCAAGUGUAGCGGUGAAAUGCGUAGAGAUUUGGAGGAACACCAGUGGCGAAGGCGACUUUCUGGUCUGUAACUGACGCUGAGGCGCGAAAGCGUGGGGAGCAAACA